UUUAAAAUCUCCGCUUAAAAAAUAUCCAAACAAUAUAAAAAAUUAAAAAUAGUUUAGUUUACUCACUCUAGUUGCUUGCCUGUUAAAUGAGAUUCUAUAAAUGCAGAUUUAUAUGAUAAAAUAAAGAACAAUGCACAAUGUACAGUUGCAGGGUAGCCAGUUCUGUAAUACAAAAUAUAAAGUUGAUAAAUAUGGUGGUAGCCACAGCACCGUAGCUUCUCCUUUCUUCUCUCAUUUUCCCACACACAUUUUGACACACAGAGUUCAUAUUCAGGAGAAUCUUGAAAAAACAAAAUAAAUUCAUACAAAAUAAGAGGAUCCCUCCAAAAUAAUGUUGAAAUAAAUUAAAAAAUAUAAAUUUAAAAUAGAUUCUCAAAGAAAUUGAACGAUGUCAUUUCACUUAAUAUUGUGUUAAUAAAGAUUAUUGUCAAACCACUUGGUUUAGAGAGGACAAAAUAUCUACUUUUUUUUAGGCCAGAGUCAAACUAUCCGAAUUUUACCAUGUACAUUUUAAAAAAAAAUUUUAAUUAUCUUUUGCAAAUUUAUAAUGUUAAUUUUUUUUUUUUACUUUUUGUUGGAUCAGACCGUAAAAUUUGGGCUUAUAAGAUUUAAAAUUAUAAAUUUAUGCUAUAAGUGAGUUAAAUAUAUGUAAAAAUAAGUGUUAUAUAUACUUAAGUAUUUUUUAGACUUUCGGCUGGACUCCGACUUUUUAAGUGAAAGUCCGAGACCAAUCCAUAAACAGCAGACUCUAAUCGGGCAAGCUUUCUCUGCAAUUUAUAAAGUAGAGCGUAGGAAGCAAAAACAAUUAUUUAGAAAUAACUUAUUAGUUAUCCUAAAUAUAUUAUGCUUUAUUGUGUUUCUCAUUUGGCUCAGAGGUUCCACAUUUUACAUAUAGCAUAAGCACAAAUGGAUUCAGCAAUGUUCCACAGAUUUCGAGAAUUAGAAAAUAUGACAUUGCUUCAGCACAAAAAUAUAAAGUAGCAGAACAUUGUCAAGGAUCUGAUUACAAAGAAAUUCUAAAUGUAAUAUUUUGAGAGUUUUUGGUUUGUUUAAAUGGUCACAUAAAUCUCCUUAGUUUCAUAAAUGGUCACGCAAGACCCUUUUUAACUAUUAUACCCUUUAAUUAAAGUUAAAAUAAAUACAAAUGUAAAUAGUAAUAAGAUAAAAAUA
rnacentral:lncRNA from 1 species